AGAGGGUGCGAGCGUUAAUCGGAAUUACUGGGCGUAAAGGGCGCGUAGGUGGAUGAGUAUGUUAGAUGUGAAAGCCCCGGGCUUAACCUGGGAAUGCCAUUUAAAACGGCUUAUCUAGAGUAUGGAAGAGGGAAGUGGAAUUUCCGGUGUAGCGGUGAAAUGCGUAGAUAUCGGAAGGAACACCAGUGGCGAAGGCGACUUCCUGGCCCAAUACUGACACUGAGGUGCGAAAGCGUGGGUAGCGAACAGGAUUAGAUACCCUGGUAGUCCACGCUGUAAACGAUGAGAACUAGCCCGUUGGUGAAGUAAAAAUCACUUGUGGCGCAGCAAACGCGAUAAGUUCUCCGCCUGGGGGAGUACGGCCGCAAGGUUA
rnacentral:rRNA from 1 species